GAUGAACGCUAGCGGCAGGCCUAAUACAUGCAAGUCGGACGGGAUUGCGGAGCUUGCUCCGCAUGAGAGUGGCGCACGGGUGCGUAACACGUAUGUAACCUACCCUUGUCAGGGGGAUAGCCUCUCGAAAGAGAGAUUAAGACCGCAUAACAUUAAGAUGUGGCAUCACAAUUUAAUCAAAUAUUUAUAGGACAAGGAUGGGCAUGCGGAACAUUAGCUAGUUGGUGAGGUAACGGCUCACCAAGGCUACGAUGUUUAGGGGAUCUGAGAGGAUGACCCCCCACACUGGUACUGAGACACGGACCAGACUCCUACGGGAGGCAGCAGUAAGGAAUAUUGGUCAAUGGACGGAAGUCUGAACCAGCCAUGCCGCGUGCAGGAAGACGGCCCUAUGGGUUGUAAACUGCUUUUGCAGGGGAAUAAACCUCAUUACGUGUAAUGAGCUGAAUGUACUCUGAGAAUAAGGAUCGGCUAACUCCGUGCCAGCAGCCGCGGUAACAC
rnacentral:rRNA from 1 species